rnacentral:rRNA from 1 species
UACGUAGGGGCAAGCGUUGUCCGGAAUCACUGGGCGUAAAGAGCGUGUAGGCGGCCAGAAAAGUCCGCUGUGAAAACUCGAGGCUCAACUUCGAGCUGUCGGUGGAAACUUUCUGGCUAGAGUCCGGAAGAGGAGAAUGGAAUUCCUGGUGUAGCGGUGAAAUGCGCAGAUAUCAGGAAGAACACCCGUGGCGAAGGCGGUUCUCUGGGACGGUACUGACGCUGAGACGCGAAAGCGUGGGGAGCGAACAGG